rnacentral:rRNA from 1 species
CGCUGGAGGUAUCAGAAGUGCGAAUGCUGACAUGAGUAACGAUAAAGGGGGUGAAAAACCCCCUCGCCGAAAGACCAAGGGUUCCUGUCCAACGUUAAUCGGGGCAGGGUGAGUCGACCCCUAAGGCGAGGCUGAAAGGCGUAGUCGAUGGGAAACGGGUUAAUAUUCCCGUACUUCUGCUAACUGCGAUGGAGAGACGGAGAAGGCUAGGCCAGCGCGGCGUUGGUUGUCCGCGUUUAAGGUAGUAGGUGGUGUGCUUAGGCAAAUCCGGGCACACAUACACUGAGAGCUGAUGACGAGUCCCCAAGGGGAUGAAGUGGUUGAUGCCAUGCUUCCAGGAAAAUCUUCUAAGCUUCAGGUUAGUAGAAAUCGUACCCCAAACCGACACAGGUGGUCGGGUAGAGAAUACCAAGGCGCUUGAGAGAACUCGGCUGAAGGAACUAGGCAAAAUGGUACCGUAACUUCGGGAGAAGGUACGCUGCCGGCGGUGAAGACCUCGCGUCGUAAGCUGCUGGCAGUCGCAGAUACCAGGUGGCUGCAACUGUUUAUCAAAAACACAGCACUGUGCAAAAUCGCAAGAUGACGUAUACGGUGUGACGCCUGCCCGGUGCCGGAAGGUUAAUUGAUUGGGUUAUCUUCGGAGAAGCUCAUGAUCGAAGCCCCGGUAAACGGCGGCCGUAACUAUAACGGUCCUAAGGUAGCGAAAUUCCUUGUCGGGUAAGUUCCGACCUGCACGAAUGGCGUAAUGAUGGCCACGCUGUCUCCAGCCGAGACUCAGUGAAGUUGAAAUUGCGGUGAAGAUGCCGUAUACCCGCGGCUAGACGGAAAGACCCCGUGAACCUUUACUAUAGCUUGGCACUGAACAUUGACCCUACAUGUGUAGGAUAGGUGGGAGACUAUGAAGAUGAGACGCCAGUCUUGUUGGAGUCAACCUUGAAAUACCACCCUUGUAGUGUUGAUGUUCUAACCUUGGUCCCUUAUCGGGAUUAGGGACAGUGCCUGGUGGGUAGUUUGACUGGGGCGGUCUCCUCCCAAAGAGUAACGGAGGAGCACGAAGGUUGGCUAAGUACGGUCGGACAUCGUACGGUUAGUGCAAUGGCAUAAGCCAGCUUAACUGCGAGACAGACACGUCGAGCAGAUGCGAAAGCAGGUCAUAGUGAUCCGGUGGUUCUGAAUGGAAGGGCCAUCGCUCAACGGAUAAAAGGUACUCCGGGGAUAACAGGCUGAUACCGCCCAAGAGUUCAUAUCGACGGCGGUGUUUGGCACCUCGAUGUCGGCUCAUCACAUCCUGGGGCUGAAGUCGGUCCCAAGGGUAUGGCUGUUCGCCAUUUAAAGUGGUACGCGAGCUGGGUUCAGAACGUCGUGAGACAGUUCGGUCCCUAUCUGCCGUGGGCGUUGGAUGAUUGAGGGGAGCUGCUCCUAGUACGAGAGGACCGGAGUGGACGAACCGCUGGUGUUCGGGUUGUCAUGCCAAUGGCAUUGCCCGGUAGCUACGUUCGGAAUCGAUAACCGCUGAAAGCAUCUAAGCGGGAAGCGAGCCCCAAGAUGAGUCAUCCCUAGGUCCUAGAGACCUCUGAAGAGCCGUUCGAGACCAGGACGUUGA